GCUGGGGAUGUGAUUCAGUGGUAAAGUGCCCCUGGGUGCAAUUCCUGGUACGUAUGUAUAAAUAAUAAGUAAGUUAGAAAAUAAAUAAAUUUACCAUCAUAACUGUUUCUAAGGGUACAUUUCACUAGUAUUACUAAGUACAAUCACAUUGUAGCUCAGUGGAGCAGCUGAAACUCCGCCCAUUAAACCACAAGCCCCCCUUUCUCUGUCUCGUCACUCUUAACAACUGCCCAGGCCCAUUUUUCGGGGGAGUAUGGAGAAUUGAACUCAGGGUGCUUAACCACAGAACCACAUCCCCAGCUCUUUUGAUUUUAUUCAUUUAUUUUUUAUUUUGAGACACAGCCGCACCAAGUGGCUUAGGGCCUCACUCAGUUUUGAGGGUGGCUUUGAGCUUGUGAUCCUCCUGCCUCAGCCUCCCGAGUCACUGGGAUUACACUCUUUGUUCCAUGUCGUUUGUACAGUUCACUCUUGAAGUGUGUAAUUCAACACGUUAUAGCAUAUCCACAGAGGCAGGCGCCAUUACCUUGAUUCCAAACAUUUUCAACACCCCAAAAAGAAAUGCUGUACCCAUUAGUAGUCUCCCCAUUCCCCUCUUCCUCG
rnacentral:lncRNA from 1 species